UUAACAAAAAAAAAAAAUAGGGUUGAGUGAAUUUAGGAGAUUUGGGCUGUGAACAGCACCACACUUUUUACUUUUGAGUUUCGCUUUUCUUCCUUUUGUAUUUUUUAUCUUGUUUAAAUUUUUUUUAUUCUCCAACAAAUUAACCAUAGAUAUUACUGAAAUUACUUUCUUUUUUCAAUUUACAUUUUGAUUUUUUUUUACUUUUGUAAUUUUUAUUUUAUUUUAAAUUGUUUUAAUU
rnacentral:misc_RNA from 1 species